CUCGGUGCCCGAGCUCAGUCAAACCAGAAAUAUCCGCUCCCUCCCUUCCCUCAGACACGUCCCCCUGGCUCAGCGGAGAAGCUUCCAUCACGCCGGAUGACAUUGGAUCAUUUUUCUCGUCCUGCACAUUCCAGCCAAAGAGGAGGACAAGGGGAGGGGAGCAGCUGCUGCUCUUGCUCUGUGAUUAUAUCAUUACAGAGCAGCAGACAUGUAUACAGUAUAUCAAGCACAGCCUGUCAUUAGCAUACUUUAUGUUCUGAUGGCUAAAUACAACUGUGCUCUGCCUGGGUCCCGGUUUGAGAAAGUACCGCAGAUUUGCAAUCCUGCAGCGUUCCAAGUUCCCUUUUCUCAGCCUUGAGCUAUAAAAUCCUUCUUUUCCCUUAUUUACUGUCCCAUUAUUCCUGCAGACACCUGUCGAGACAUGCAGGUUAUCAGAUCCUCUGCAGCCUCAGUCUAAAUAAACCGUGCAGUUGUGUAACAUGUUGGAGUCACCGGCUCCACGAAUAGCACACACCUGUCAAACACAGUCCUGCUUGUUCUCCCUGUGGAGGCUGACCUCCCCGCCUCCUGAACCCCAACGCUCCAACGUCAACAGCUCAGAGGCGUAGGAAGCGGAGACGGAGCCUUUCAAAAUGGCAGCCUGAACAAAGGCGGUGAAAGCUUUCCUCUGCCUCUGCGGAGAUGGUGCAGUGGAAGCCUUGAUUGACAGGAACAUUAGCUCUCAGAGGAAACGGCUCCCACCCAGUUAUGCAACACAGAGAAGAAACUACACGAGAUGAAAGAUGCUGCAUAUUGCAGCGCCAAUCCUGCAGGAAUCCUGGAUUAACACACAACAAAAAGAGAAAGCAGGAGAAAGGGGCAGCAUCCCAUAAUACAUCAUCACAGACCUGCUGACACACGCCAGAGUACUCUGUCAUUCAUCAGCCCGCGAGCUCGUCCUCUCUUCAGGAUGCUGAGACGCUUCUGCCGUCACCGCCGCCGCUGUGUCUGAGCGGGAGGCGCUGGUCUUUCUGCAUCGUCAUGCUCGCCGUCGCUCUGCAGCCGUGAAGGCAGAUGGUCCUCUUCCGACGCGGCGUCUUCUGCAAUCCAGACUCUCAGCUGAUCAGACAAACCUGUCAGGGAUGCAGAAACCAGCCUGCUACAGACAGUUCACAAAACCAUAAACCGUAUUUGUAAACUGGAGCGAGUGAGACAUUAACCGAAGAUCCAAACAAAGGAAGUCAAUUCGGUCGCCAUUUUUCCACAAUAUGGAAGCUGCCAUGUUGGAGCCGGACAACGUCAGAAAGCAGUGAUUGGUCAGAAUCGGUCUGAGUCAAUGUUUCUACGGCAACCACUCUUACCAAUCAGGAGUUGUUGGAGGGUCCACACCACUUAAAGGCAGGCUCGAGAGAAUCUGUCAAUCAAAUGUCCACCCACUUUUAUUAAGGCACUUUGAAUGACUUGCAUUACAGAAUAAAAUAUUAUGAAGAAAAACUCAACAUAAGCAAGAGCACAUUUGCUCCUUUGACACCG